GCGCGAGUGGCGGAAUUGGUAGACGCGCUGGCUUCAGGUGCCAGUGAUCGCAAGAUCGUGGGGGUUCAAGUCCCCCCUCGCGCACAA
rnacentral:tRNA from 1 species